GAGCGAACAGAUAAGGAGCUUGCUCCUUUGACGUUAGCGGCGGACGGGUGAGUAACACGUGGGUAACCUACCUAUAAGACUGGGAUAACUUCGGGAAACCGGAGCUAAUACCGGAUAACAUUUGGAACCGCAUGGUUCUAAAGUGAAAGAUGGUUUUGCUAUCACUUAUAGAUGGACCCGCGCCGUAUUAGCUAGUUGGUAAGGUAACGGCUUACCAAGGCGACGAUACGUAGCCGACCUGAGAGGGUGAUCGGCCACACUGGAACUGAGACACGGUCCAGACUCCUACGGGAGGCAGCAGUAGGGAAUCUUCCGCAAUGGGCGAAAGCCUGACGGAGCAACGCCGCGUGAGUGAUGAAGGGUUUCGGCUCGUAAAACUCUGUUAUUAGGGAAGAACAAAUGUGUAAGUAACUGUGCACGUCUUGACGGUACCUAAUCAGAAAGCCACGGCUAACUACGUGCCAGCAGCCGCGGUAAUACGUAGGUGGCAAGCGUUAUCCGGAAUUAUUGGGCGUAAAGCGCGCGUAGGCGGUUUCUUAAGUCUGAUGUGAAAGCCCACGGCUCAACCGUGGAGGGUCAUUGGAAACUGGGAAACUUGAGUGCAGAAGAGGAAAGUGGAAUUCCAUGUGUAGCGGUGAAAUGCGCAGAGAUAUGGAGGAACACCAGUGGCGAAGGCGACUUUCUGGUCUGUAACUGACGCUGAUGUGCGAAAGCGUGGGGAUCAAACAGGAUUAGAUACCCUGGUAGUCCACGCCGUAAACGAUGAGUGCUAAGUGUUAGGGGGUUUCCGCCCCUUAGUGCUGCAGCUAACGCAUUAAGCACUCCGCCUGGGGAGUACGACCGCAAGGUUGAAACUCAAAGGAAUUGACGGGGACCCGCACAAGCGGUGGAGCAUGUGGUUUAAUUCGAAGCAACGCGAAGAACCUUACCAAAUCUUGACAUCCUUUGAAAACUCUAGAGAUAGAGCUUUCCCCUUCGGGGGACAAAGUGACAGGUGGUGCAUGGUUGUCGUCAGCUCGUGUCGUGAGAUGUUGGGUUAAGUCCCGCAACGAGCGCAACCCUUAAGCUUAGUUGCCAUCAUUAAGUUGGGCACUCUAGGUUGACUGCCGGUGACAAACCGGAGGAAGGUGGGGAUGACGUCAAAUCAUCAUGCCCCUUAUGAUUUGGGCUACACACGUGCUACAAUGGACAAUACAAAGGGCAGCUAAACCGCGAGGUCAUGCAAAUCCCAUAAAGUUGUUCUCAGUUCGGAUUGUAGUCUGCAACUCGACUACAUGAAGCUGGAAUCGCUAGUAAUCGUAGAUCAGCAUGCUACGGUGAAUACGUUCCCGGGUCUUGUACACACCGCCCGUCACACCACGAGAGUUUGUAACACCCGAAGCCGGUGGAGUAACCAUUUAUGGAGCUAGC
rnacentral:rRNA from 1 species